UAUAUAUAUAUAUGAGUCCGGCUGCUAUGCUAUGAUAGCACCAAAUACUUGGUGCUAGUAAGUUUUCUACCGUUAGAUUAACUACUAUGAUUAUUUUUACCCGUUAGAUUAUACUAUUCAACCAACUACCCAUUCAAUCCUAGGGGAGCCUAUAUCAUCAUAACCGCGCAUUUCUUAAUCCAAUGGUUAAAAAACUAAUAGCACCAAUAACUUAGUGCUAUUGAUAGUAUUCCAGCCUAGUUCUAUAUAUAUAUAUACACCAUCAUCUACGAAUAAUGAGA
rnacentral:lncRNA from 1 species